CCACCGACGCACUGCAGGUGACAUCCCUAACUCACUGCUCCGCGCCGCCCAGGGACAGUCCAAUAGCAGAAGCCGGACCAGGAGGACAAGAUUGAACUUGGUGCUCACAACCCGCGCUUUCGCGACCUGGAGUCCGGUAGCCACCCUGCCGUGGCGCGGAGCCGCGUCCAUAAGGCCUUGUCGAAUCAGGUGAAGGCCUGAAAAGAACAGUAAGACUGAUCGCCCACAGAAGAGGGAAUUCUCCAGCAGACUGCCUUCAGACUUCAUGUGCACUUCUGGCUCUCCUGGGCUCCAGGAUGCCAGCCUACCCUGCAGGUUUUGGACUCGACAGCCUCUGUAAUCACGAAAUGUGGAGGGUCUCAGGUUUCACUGGUUUGAAAAGCAUGGGCAGGGCUUGACUAUGUGAUUGCCAAUAUUAAAUCUGCUGGAGUUUCAUGGAGAUGAAGAGAGACACAUCCAGAAUUAUUUGAGAUGAUUUCCUUAAAUGUGGCUUAAGUAUGGACACAUAAAACUACCUUGAAAAUGAACAGAUUGUACCUUAUCUAGAGAUAAAGGAUGGGAUUUGGAACAGAUUCAGCUUUCAUUUGGUUCACUAAAGACAUAAGGCCAUAAAACAGUUAGGGAAUGCAGAAAGCUUCCCUGAUUCUAUUUGUAUGUACCUUAGAAGGAACUUCCAGGUGUUCUGGCAAAUCCUCAGUGUAUUGUGUCACAGUACUAAUUUAAUGCCGAUGUAACUCUAGAUCAAGUUUCCCAUUGUUAAACUAUCUCUGUUCUCUUGGAAACUGAACUCUUUCCUUUGAGGUUUUGGAUUGGACAUUGCAUUUGACUUUUUACACAGUAGUUGACGUGUGUCAGAGCAGUGAUGGAUUGCAAUGUACCCCAAAUUCAAGCAUAAUGAGUCAAUUUUGGGUGCAUACUUAUCACUUAUUCCUAUUCAAGAGCGCCGGGUUCGUUUAGCUAAACUAAUUCCAAAAAGUAGAUGUACAUUGACCUCAACCAAUUUCAAAGUGCUUUUUAUUUCUGCAUAAGUUGAAGAAUUUUUACAAUUUAAAAAAUCGUAUGUUUUGAAGGUAAAAUUGACAAAUCUUAAAAUCGAAAAGGCAAAUAUGUGAAGGAGCCAAAACUGUAUAUCAGAUAUUUUGGAAAGUGAACACUGGAAGCUUCUCUAAAUUAAAUACAGAAAAGCUUUUAUGUUCUCUGUGUAUAUACUUUAAAAAACAACUAUGAAUCAGAAUAGCCACAUUUGGAACACUUUCUGUUAUCAUUCAAUAUUUUUGGAUAGAGCCUGAUCCUACUAAGCUUAAUGUGGGCUUGAUUCUGGAAAGUAAAUCUUUUCACAACUGUCUCAAUGCAUGGAAACCUUUUAGAAAAUAGACACUCCCUAAAGUCUUUUGUUCGCAUGGUCACACACUGAUACUUAGAAGUUCCAGCACCUAAUAUGGCCACAGUAAUCUUGAAACCAAAGUCAUUUUUUUUUUUGCCAUCUUUAGAAACUUACACAGGAACACCAGAUCCAACAGAUCGCAAGCUCCUGUGUGUGUGAAUGAACAUUCCCUUUAGUUUCAUACCUGAAUGCUGUACAUCUAUUUUGGAUUGUACAUUGUGUUUGUAUACUUAUGCUUUGAUUCAUAUUAACUUCUCAUGUUAUGGAAUUGAAUUGUAUUGAACACAAACUGUAAAUAAAAAGAAAUGGCUAAAACAGCAAAAAUAAUAAUAAUAAUAAAACAAAAUGCAAUAAGGUUGUUUCUGACGACACAGAAUUCCUGAGGUUCUGUAUUCUUUUUUUUUUUUUGUGGCAAUAUCAUGUCCAUGAACCAAAGAC